rnacentral:rRNA from 1 species
AGUGAACGCUGGCAGCAGGCCUAACACAUGCAAGUCGAACGGAUCCUUCGGGAUUAGUGGCGGACGGGUGAGUAACGCGUGGGAACAUACCCUUUGGUACGGAAUAGCCUCGGGAAACUGGGAGUAAUACCGUAUGUGGUCGAGAGACGAAAGAUUUAUCGCCAAAGGAUUGGCCCGCGUUGGAUUAGGUAGUUGGUGGGGUAAUGGCCUACCAAGCCGACGAUCCAUAGCUGGUUUGAGAGGAUGAUCAGCCACACUGGGACUGAGACACGGCCCAGACUCCUACGGGAGGCAGCAGUGGGGAAUCUUAGACAAUGGGGGAAACCCUGAUCUAGCCAUGCCGCGUGAUCGAUGAAGGCCUUAGGGUUGUAAAGAUCUUUCAGGUGGGAAGAUAAUGACUGUACCACCAGAAGAAGCCCCGGCUAACUCCGUGCCAGCCGCCGCGGUAACAC